AAAACUUUCAACAACGGAUCUCUAGGUUCUCGCAACGAUGAAGAACGCAGCGAAUUGCGAUACGUAUUGUGAAUUGCAGAUUUUCGUGAAUCAUCGAAUCUUUGAACGCACAUUGCGCCCUGUGGUAUUCCACAGGGCAUGCCUGUUUGAGCGUC
rnacentral:rRNA from 1 species